UAAAAACCAUGAUCCCUAUGAACCCAGGGGCCUUAAACACUGAGCCACGCCCUCAGUCCUUUUUUUUUUUUUUGAGACAGUCUCAAUAAGUUGCUGAGGUUGGCCUUGAUUUUCCUGCCUCAGCCUCCCCAAUGAUUGGGAUUACACAGGUGUGUGCCACCACCCAGGCUCCAUUUUCUUUCUCUCCUUUUUUUUUAAAAUAGUUUUUAGAUGUUGAUGGACCUUUAUUUUAUUCAUUUAUUUAUAUGCAGUGCUGAGACUUGAACCCAGUGCCUCACACAUGCCCUCUGCCACUGAGUCACAACCCCAACCCCCAGGAUUUUCUUGUCAUGAGAAAGCAUGAGAAGAGAAAGGGGUGCCAUUUAGUAAAGGGUGUUGGAGUUGGACAGUGAUCCACUCCUAUAAUCUGUAAUCCCAUCUUAGGGAGGCCAGGGCAGAAAGAUCACAGGUUCAAGACCAGCCUGGGCAGUCUAGCAAGACCCUGUGUCAAGGUUGGUAUUGUAGCUCAGUGGUGGAGUGCUUGCCUAACGUGUGAGGCACUGGGUUUGAUUCUCAGUAUCACACUGAGAAAAAGACACUAUUUCAAAAUGAAAAGGGCUGGGGGGCUGGGGAUAUAGCUCAGUUGGUAGAGUGCUUGCCUCGCAUGC
rnacentral:lncRNA from 1 species